AUUUAAAUGGACCAGUAAUUUACUUCUAACCAGGAGAUUAUAAAAUCUUUCUAUGCCAGACAGGUGCCACAGAGGAAAAGCUGGCGUGGAUGACAGCCAUGAACACCUGCCACUGCGGUGACUCAUUCUCAGCCGCACCUCUUGCUCCUAAGGUACCUGGGGAGCAUUGCUUCUCCAGCAGCAGGGCAGCUUCCCGUGGCAAACUCAACUAUGAAGGCCAAUUGCCCAAUGCCAGGUGCCUCUGAGACUGAAAACUCACUGACGUGAAUGGCCACGCUAUGCUGUCCUUCUUGGACGAUCCCAGACGCCUCCUCACCAGCACAGUGUCCAGUGCGAAAGAGCUGCUCAAAUAAACAGUUGCUCAUU